GGGUUGUGUGUGGAAAGUUUUUUCGGCCAGGGAUGUGCUCGCGGCCUAUCAGCUUGAUGGUGAGGUAAUGGCUCACCAUGGCUUCGACGGGUAGCCGGCCUGAGAGGGUGACCGGUCACACUGGGACUGAGACACGGCCCAGACUCCUACGGGAGGCAGCAGUGGGGAAUAUUGGACAAUGGGCGGAAGCCUGAUCCAGCAACGCCGCGUGGGGGAUGACGGCCUUCGGGUUGUAAACCUCUUUCGCCUAGGACGAAGCGCAAGUGACGGUACUAGGUAAAGAAGCACCGGCCAACUACGUGCCAGCAGCCGCGGUAAUACGUAGGGUGCGAGCGUUGUCCGGAAUUAUUGGGCGUAAAGGGCUCGUAGGCGGUUUGUCGCGUCGGGAGUGAAAACCACAUGCUUAACAUGUGGCUUGCUUUCGAUACGGGCAGACUAGAGGUAUGCAGGGGAGAACGGAAUUCCUGGUGUAGCGGUGAAAUGCGCAGAUAUCAGGAGGAACACCGGUGGCGAAGGCGGUUCUCUGGGCAUUACCUGACGCUGAGGAGCGAAAGUGUGGGGAGCGAACAGGAUUAGAUACCCUGGUAGUCCACACCGUAAACGUUGGGCGCUAGGUGUGGGACCUAUUCCAUGGUUUCCGUGCCGCAGCUAACGCAUUAAGCGCCCCGCCUGGGGAGUACGGCCGCAAGGCUAAAACUCAAAGGAAUUGACGGGGGCCCGCACAAGCGGCGGAGCAUGCGGAUUAAUUCGAUGCAACGCGAAGAACCUUACCUGGGUUUGACAUACACCGGAAAGCUGCAGAGAUGUGGCCCCUUUUUGUCGGUGUACAGGUGGUGCAUGGCUGUCGUCAACUCGUGUCGUGAGAUGUUGGGUUAAGUCCCGCAACGAGCGCAACCCUCGUCCUAUGUUGCCAGCACGUUAUGGUGGGGACUCAUAGGAGACUGCCGGGGUCAACUCGGAGGAAGGUGGGGAUGACGUCAAGUCAUCAUGCCCCUUAUGUCCAGGGCUUCACGCAUGCUACAAUGGCCGGUACAAAGGGCUGCGAUCCCGUAAGGGGGAGCGAAUCCCAAAAAGCCGGUCUCAGUUCGGAUUGGGGUCUGCAACUCGACCCCAUGAAGUCGGAGUCGCUAGUAAUCGCAGAUCAGCAACGCUGCGGUGAAUACGUUCCCGGGCCUUGUACACACCGCCCGUCACGUCACGAAAGUCGGCAACACCCGAAGCCGGUGGCCCAACCCUUGUGGAGGGAGCUGUCGAAGGUGGGGCUGGCGAUUGGGACGAAGUCGAAACAAGGUA
rnacentral:rRNA from 1 species